AAGAAGCAUUAAUACUGAGAAGAGCUUUCCAACGUGAGAGAAAGUUUCGGGACAGGUCAGACCCGUUGGCAUUUCCCAAAACUACUUGCAUGAGAGGUCUUGAUUUUCCGGUGAUGGCAUCUGUUACUUGUGCAGACUGCGGGGUCCCUAAAUUGAGCACUGCACAGCGCGGAGCCACGCCCUCAACAUCUCACAGAUAAUCUGUGUUGCACUAUGUUUCUUUGCAGGUGGCAUGUUCUUAUAUUCAUUUGGAGAUGCUGAAAAUCUGAAUAAAGGCAUUAUUUGCCGCUCCAUCAGAAAUGUGUAUUUGGCAUUAAAAACAUUGGCACACAUCUGCAUCACCUUCCCUGGCCACAGAAGAAUUUGCUACAUUAAAGAGGAAUUCUAUAAGAUUGCCGCUUCCCUAAUGUCAUUGGAAAUCCUUCCACAGUAUCACUGUUCAGAUGAUCUUUGAUGCUGACUGCAUAAUUAGUAAUUUAGAGGCAAAGUGGCCUGGCUCAGUCCAUGACGAGUCUUUUGGGCCAGUGCAACUUACCAGCGACAAUCACAAGAUUACAUUUUCUCUGGCGUGUUGCUGGGAGACAAGGGUUUUGCCUGUCAGCCGUUCCUGCUCACUCCCCUUGCAGACCCUCAAACAGCAGCACAGCAAGCAUAUAAUCUUGCCCAUGCAAGAACAAGGGCCUGAAUUGAGAUGGCAUUUGGUCUUCUAAAGUCACGUUUUCACUGUCUUCACCACCUGAGGGUCACCCCAGACACCCUGCGACGUCACUGUUGCCUGCACUGUUGUACACAAUAUUGCCUGGCUCAGAAGGAAAUGGCAACAAAGUGGCAUUAGAGAUUGACUGAGACAAUGCUGCAAUAUUUCCAGACAAUGUCAAUGGCAGACUGGUCAGAGACCAAUACAUUGUUAAUUAUUUCAGUUGAUUGAUUUCUCUUUGAUGUAGCCUACCCUUUACUUAUAAAGGAUAGUCACUGUUUCAUGUGUAUGUGUAUUUUAUUUGGCAUUGGUUUCUGGUUGUGAGGUUUCAUAAUUGUAUAAUCUUCCCAAAUUAUAGUCUCACUUCACUGGACCAAUAACUAUAUAGUAUACUGUACAUUCAUGAAACAGGGAGAGGACACUACAAUGUUUUUGACCUUUUUAUUUUGCACUCGUCAGCUUGGAGCUUUUGAGAGAGAAAAACAAUGAUUAAUACAUUGUGUUACCGUCAUGCUUACAGUGUGCAUUGAAAUCACUUACUUCUCUGUCUAGUUUCAGGAUUUCCAGCAUCCUGCAGUUUUUUCUUGUGGAAUUCAAUCUUCACAUCUGCCAGCUCUAUUUGUCUUCGUAGGUGUUUGGUGUGCAGACGUCUGACAGUUUGUGAAUUUUGUAAAACACCUAUCAAUCAGCACAGCAGGAAUUGUGCAUAAUGUGGAUUUCCCUUAGGCAAUACUCACUAUGUUACCAGGUUUGCUAUCAGGCUGUACAGUGACACAGUCUCCUCCUCAUCUGCUGCAGAAGUGCCUCCCCCCUGCCAUAUUCAAUAGAACUUGUAUUGACCUAGUGUUGACAGGAUGUGUGAAGCCUAUGCCUUUAAUGAAUAAUACUCACCAGAUUAUUGUCUCAUGGCUCCAGAGGAGCGCGUGUGUUGCCAGACACUGCAAGGCAAGCCAAAGUCAGACAGUCCACAUAACACCAAAUAAAUGGUGGACUGUGACUCCAUGUGCAGUACUUGAAUAAUGUACCUUGUAUGAAGAGGGCAGUUUCUGUAGAUGGGAAAGAGUCAGUGACUGUUCCGCCCCUGGAUCCCUUCCAUCACAGGCCUCCCUUGGUUCAGGUCAAGGGCCAACUCCUCUGCUGGGGUGAAGUCUGGGGUUGGUGGGCCAGACACAUGAGCCUUUUUCUUAACUGCUAAAAUCAGUACAUGUGAGCAGGUGCCUCCUAAGUAAUGUAUAAACUUCAUUUGUACAUGUUAUCAACAAUCGAGGCAUUUCCAGCCUGCAAAAUGUUCUUAUACUUAAUGUAUGUAUCAGCUAUGUAUCUUAAAAUAGAUCAAAUUCUUUUUGACUUUCUGGCUGAGACAGCAUAAAUAUUAAUAACAUAUAAUCUUGUCCGGAACUUAUAAGAGUUUUGAUAAAGUACCAGACCAAUGAGGAGCUUUCACAAGAGUAGUAGUAAGCUGUAAGCUAAGAUUCAAACGAUAAAUAUCUCUAAUAAUGAUGCGAUGAAAGUUCACCUAUAGUAUAGGGCACCAAAACAGCCAGGACUGCCACUGACAGCCUACUGUUGCCUUUCAAAAUGACAGGUAGGACAAGAAAACACUUGGAUUAUAUCUAGCUUCUCUUAAAGCAAUGCUGUAAUACAAUACUGAUUCAUUUACUAAAUUAAUCACAUUAUUGAGGUGUAACUGAGUUAAGAUGGACAUAUAAUACACAGUGUUAAAACAGAAGCAGUCUGAUGGUGGGUGGACACCAUGCAGACUUUGAUUCUGCAGACAGAAAUGAAAUCAAGAAGUGAAAAGAUGUGGUUCCUGUUGCUGCUUCAGGUUCACAUCAUUGUCUGUUAGUGUUGUUGUGGAGAGUUUUCUAAUCUGGUGCCCCUAUUGGCAGUAAUCAGCAUAGAACAUCAUUUGUCUGUGCUUUCAAAAAAACAACACUGUGGUUAAGGUCUGGUUGGGUUUAGAGAAAGAUCAUGGUUUGGGAUCCCUAUAUCAGUCUAAAAUGAUCAAAGCAGUCUGAGUUUGUUCAAGUCUUUUAUUGCAGUCUUUGUUGAAGUUGUUUAUGUGGCUUCUUUAUAUACUGUUUUACUUAAAUAUGAUGUGCAAAUUAAUUGUCUUGGGACUGACAACAGGUUUGACUGUGUGGUUUUUGGUGAAGGAAGUGGUCUAUUUUAUGACGAGGUUGACUGUCAUGUAGGUCUCGUGCAGAUGAGAAGCAAAAAGAUCAUCAGCAAACUGUCCUAUGGAGAUUUGUGGUGACAUUUACUGACAGCACAGAAUGAAAUCAUAACUUUCUAAAGAAUGUUUUUAUAAUUUAAUAUUUAAUAAAAUGCUGACAUCUGUUUACAGCCUGAGUUGAUUACUUCUUAAAGGUUUUGAACACUGAGCUCUAUAGAGUUUGCAAAAUGUAUGAAUUUUGUUGCAGAUCAGUGUUUUCUUUAAUAUGUUAUUUCUAUUGUUCACCUCUCUCAUGAUUUCCUGUUUUAGGUCAAGAUGUGGUCAGGAUGUCGCAUGGUGAUUGUCUGUCAUUUAUAUCCUGUUAUGAUGUUGGAUGUUAAAUGUGUUCAAAGGUCCAAAACUUCAUCUUGCUCUGAACAAUUCGUGUUGCAGCAGUCUUUUCUACCCUGCUGACAAGCUGAUGUCAGCUCAUUACACAUGUCAAUUAAAGUGCGUCUGCUCUGUAGCCUUGAAUGCUAAGGUUGUUGCUAAGGUUGUUACAUGUGUUGUUCACGUUGUCCACUCAACAAAAUUUUGA